CCCUUAGAUGUUCUGGGCCGCACACGCGCUACACUGAAGGAGGCAGCGUGUACUCCUGGAUCGAAAGAUUUGGGUAACCCGCGAAUCUCCUUCGUGCUAGGGAUUGAGGUUUGCAAUUAUCCUUCAUGAACGAGGAAUUCCCAGUAAGUGCAAGUCAUAAGCUUGCGCUGACUACGUCCCUGCCCUUUGUACACACCGCCCGUCGCUACUUCCGAUUGAAUGAUUUAGUGAGGACUUCGGACUGGGACCGAUGCGGCUUUCGGGCUGCGUCGGUAUUCUGGAAAGAUGUCCAAACUGUAUCAUUUAGAGGAAGUAAAAGUCGUAACA
rnacentral:rRNA from 1 species